GAGUGCGUAGUCUGUAGCAAUACAGACGGGCGCACGGCGCACGGGUGCGUAACACGUGGGCAAUCUGCCCUUUGAUGGGGAAUAACCCCGCGAAAGCGGGGCUAAUUCCGCAUAACAUUCCCAUGACUUCGGUUGAGGGAUUCAAAGCAGUAAUGCGUCAAAGGAGGAGCCCGCGCCCGAUUAGCUAGUUGGUGAGGUAAUGGCUCACCGAGGCAAUGAUCGGUAGCUGGUCUGAGAGGAUGAUCAGCCACACUGGAACUGAGACACGGUCCAGACUCCUACGGGAGGCAGCAGUGGGGAAUCUUGCACAAUGGGCGAAAGCCUGAUGCAGCGACGCCGCGUGGGGGAUGAAGCAUUUCGGUGUGUAAACCCCUUUCGACCGGGAAGAAAACCCGCAAGGGAUUGACGGUACCGGUAUAAGAAGCCCCGGCUAACUACGUGCCAGCAGCCGCGGUAAGACGUAGGGGGCCAGCGUUGUUCGGAAUUACUGGGUGUAAAGGGUUCGUAGGCGGUGCGGCAAGUUGGGAGUGAAAUCUCUGGGCUCAACCCAGAGGCUGCUUCCAAAACUGCUGUGCUUGAGUGUGAGAGAGGCUCGUGGAAUUGCAGGUGUAGCGGUGAAAUGCGUAGAUAUCUGCAGGAACACCCGUGGCGAAAGCGGCGAGCUGGAUCACAACUGACGCUGAGGAACGAAAGCUAGGGGAGCAAACAGGAUUAGAUACCCUGGUAGUCCUAGCCCUAAACGAUCA
rnacentral:rRNA from 1 species